rnacentral:rRNA from 2 species
AAGGUUUCCGUAGGUGAACCUGCGGAAGGAUCAUUU